UACGAAGGGUGCAAGCGUUACUCGGAAUCACUGGGCGUAAAGCGUGCGUAGGCGGUUCGUUAAGUCUGCUGUGAAAGCCCUGGGCUCAACCUGGGAACUGCAGUGGAUACUGGCGGACUAGAGUGUGAUAGAGGAUGGUGGAAUUCCCGGUGUAGCGGUGAAAUGCGUAGAGAUCGGGAGGAACACCAGUGGCGAAGGCGGCGAUCUGGGUUGAUACUGACGCUGAGGUGCGAAAGCGUGGGGAGCAAACAGG
rnacentral:rRNA from 1 species